rnacentral:rRNA from 1 species
CCUACGGGUGGCAGCAGUGAGGAAUAUUGGUCAAUGGACGAGAGUCUGAACCAGCCAAGUAGCGUGAAGGAUGACUGCCCUAUGGGUUGUAAACUUCUUUUAUAAAGGAAUAAAACGAGGCACGUGUGCCGUUUUGCAUGUACUUUAUGAAUAAGGAUCGGCUAACUCCGUGCCAGCAGCCGCGGUAAUACGGAGGAUACGAGCGGUAUCCGGAUGUAUUGGGUUUAAAGGGAGCGUAGAUGGGUUGUUAAGUCAGUUGUGAAAGUUUGGGGCUCAACCGUAAAAUUGCAAUUGAUACUGGCAGUCUGGAGUACAGUUGAGGUAGGCGGAAUUCGUGGUGUAGCGGUGAAAUGCUUAGAUAUCACGAAGAACCCCGAUUGCGAAGGCAGCUUACUAAACUGUGACUGACAUUGAUGCUCGAAAGUGUGGGUAUCAAACAGGAUUAGAUACCCCUGUAGUC